UCCGGUUGAUCCUGCCGGUAUCGCAUUUCUUAGUUAAAAGAUUAAUCCAUGCAUGUGUUCGGCAUUACUUGUUUAAUGCCUGCGGACGGCUCAUUAAAACAGAGAUAACCUACUCUCAGAAACAGACGGAUAACUUUGCUAAUUGUGAGGCUAAUACGUGAGAUAAAUCUUCGGAUUGCCCCAAUUAUUUUUAAGCUCAAAACAUGACUGUUUAUUGGGUGAUUAGACCUUGUGUCUAUUGAGAAUGGGUCUCUGAUCUAUCAGCUGUUGACGGUUGUGUAUUGGACAACCGUGGCUUUGACGGAUAACGGGGAAUUGGGGUUCGGUUCCGGAGAGAACGCAUGAGAAACGGCGUUCACAGCUAAGGUUGGCAGCAGGAGCGAAAACUUUUCGAAUAAGCAAUGCUUGAAAAGGUGACUAUCAGUAUCAACAACUGCUUUUUGUAGUUGAUUGGAAUGGGAGACUUUUAGACCUAGUCUCGAGUAGCAAGUUCAGGGCAAGUCUGGUGCCAGCAGCCGCGGUAAUACCAGCUGAGCUAGAAAUGGGUAACAUUGUUGCAGUAAAAACGUACGUAGUCAUCUUUGUUUUUGUGCUGCAUUUUUUAAAUGUCAGCAGACGAGCACUCCAUCUUAACUCGUUUAAGAUGAUCUCCGCGAAUAAACUAGAACGAUCAACUUGAAUGUUGUAUAUGACAGCGUGGGAAACCUGACGAUACCUAAUGGUUAUGCGCUUAUCUUAAUCUUAGGGAUAAACUGUAGGAAUGAAUGAGGGCAUUAGUAUUUAAUAGCUAGAGGUGAAAUUCCUAGAUUUAUUAACGACUAACUACUGCGAAAGCAUCUGUCUAAUUCAUUUUUGGUGAUCAAGUACUAAAGAGUGGGGAUCGAAGAGGAUUAGAUACCCUCGUAGUCCACUCCCUAAACGAUGCCAACUAGUGGUUGGUGCAGUUAGAGAACUUUAUCAGAACCUUAGCAGAUAUGAAAGUCUUUGGGCUCUGGGGGGAGUACGGUCGCAAGGGCGAAACUUAAAGGAAUUGACGGAACGGCACCACCAGGGGUGGAGCGUGCGGCUUAAUUUGACUCAACGCGGGAAACCUUACUAGGGCAAGACAUUGGUAUGAUUGACAGGUUACUUGAUCUUUCUUGAUUUGGUGGGUGGUGGUGCAUGGCCGAUCUUAGUUGGUGGGGUGACCCGUCUGGUUAAUUUCGAUAACGAACGAGAUCCGAGCUGUUUAGUUGGCUGUAGUUGUUUUUCGGCUAUAUGUCUCCUAUAUGGACUGUCAGUAUGAGGCUGAAGGAAGUUUCGGGCUAAAUCAGGUCUGUGAUGCCCUUAGACGCUCUAGGCGGCACGCGCGCUACAAUGGGUGGAAGAACGAGUUACUGCCUCAGAAAUGGGGGGUGAAUCUCGAAUUCUUGCCCGUGAAUGGGAUAGUUUGUUGCAAUUUUCGGACUUGAACUAGGAAUCCCUUGU
rnacentral:rRNA from 1 species